ACGCUCCCCAUUUUUUCAGAGAUAUAACACAGUUCCUUUCAAAAGCAUUCAUACUGCAUACAGACUUUCAAGUUUAGAACAACAAACAUCAGUAUGUUUUAUCUGGAUCUGAUAUGGGUGAUCAGAACACAUUAGUGCAAGGUUGUGAUAUGGAAAGGAAAGGUCACAUAGUUUUAAUUUCCUCUUUUUAAAUUAAAAAGAUGAUUUUAAUUAUUGGGCUAUAUGAAAUCCAAAUGUCCACAACAGCACCCAAGUAUUAAUCAACUCACGUGUGCAUUCAGCUCUGUUCUCCUGUGGUUACGCCUGCAGCUUCUUUCUCUUAGUAUUUGCCCAGUUUUUGAGUACACUCACUCUGAAGGAGAGCGGUCAAUAAAUCAAUAAUUUUACUGUUGCAAAAACAUAGCAAGGCAUCAUUUCACAUGCAGUUAUUCAUUGCAACGACAGUAUACAGCUUUAAACAAAUGAAAACCAUCAAAAAAAUAAUUAAUCAAUGCAAAAGCAGCAAAGACUUGCUAAAUGAUGCCUCCUUCAAGAAUGAUUUACUCUAGCCAUUUGUCUGCUAAUCUAAAACAGACAAAUGGCUGUUUUGAUGAGAAAUAACUAUUUCUCAUCAAAUAGUUAUUUGAUGAGAAAGACUUCUGCAGACUUUGAGGAUUUUCAGUUUUUCAGUCAUCUCCUCCUCGUUAAUCUUCCUCAAUAAAACAAAACCUGUCGUGAUUAUAAGGCUCAGUUUCCUUUGACAAGUCAGACCUUUGUUUUUAGUUGUCUUCGUCAAAGCAGCAUGUCUUAUGCUGGCAGCAGUUUAUGUGAUGAGUUCUAGCUCUCUAUUAGACUCCCCAUUGUCACAUUUAAUUCAUUGCACUUGAGUUGUGUCCUUGUGUCAAUCCCACUUGAAAUCCACCAAAUAUAGAGAAAUACAAUGAAAGUUAGAGAAUUGGUCAUUGUGGCGCCACAAAGAAUUGUGUCCAUGGCACCAAAAUGGUCCUGGACCCACCAAACGCCCAGACUGGGCUGCUCUCAUCAUCCGGGACGUUUAAAUGCCCACCGGAUAUUCCGCCAUAUCCUCUGAAGGGAAAACUCUUGCAAAAAAUACAGACGUGAGUGGGAAGACACACAUUCCCUGAACAGCUUCUGUGAGGAUUAAUAGCAUGCACGUUUUUCAAAUUGUGUCAGUGAGUGAAUUUAGCACUCUGUGAAUUUAGCAUUCUGUCUGCCUGAUAGCAGACAGAAUGGAUCAGGAGAGCAUCACAGUGGACAAGUAAGAACGCAGAAAACUCAGCUUUCAGUGUUACAACUACUCAAUCUACUACUGAGACAGAUAUGGUGGAACAUUAUGUUAUGAUUGAUUCAGUUUAAUAUUGUAAUUUUAGAAGAAUAUUGUGGAUCAAAUCAGGCAAGAAACCAAUAAAUGUGAGGAGUAGCUAAGCAGGGUUGGAUUAUAAAACUAUAUUCUAAUCUACAAACAUCUUAGAGAGCACUUCUUCAAUCCAAGAUCCAAACAUGAAAAAAAAAAGUAUGGCACAAUUGCAAACCUAGCCAGAUAUGGCAGUCCAUUUAAACUAGCAGGCUGGGCAAGGAGAGCAUUAAUCAGAAAGCCAAGAGACUCAAAGUGACUCAUGAGGAGCUGCAGAGGUCUAAAGCUCAGGCGCUGCACUUAAGAAAAUGCCAAUGAUGGAAUAGUGGUUACAAGAAAGCCAUUGUUUAAAAAAAAAAAAAACAAUAAGAAGUCCUGCUCUAGUUGGAAAAAGGUUCUCUAGAACAGAAUUGAAAUAUUUGUAUUCAAAAUGCUUUGUGUGAUAGAAAAGAAACAUUGAAAGUUAUCCUUUGCAAAACAUGGUGUUGGUGGUGGUAUGAUGCAGUGAGGAUUAUUUGUCAAGGCCUUGGAAGUUAAAUGAGGUUAAAUAUAGGAUGAUUCUGAAAGAAAAUCUUCUAUGGACUGCAUAGACGUGAGACAGAGGUGAACUUUCCACUUCCAGCUGGACUACCGCCUGACCGACACAGCUACAAAGGAAACGUUUAUAGCAAAUUAUACUUUCAUCAGAGUGCUCGGGUUAAAGUAUGGAGUGAAAUCCAACUAAAAAUUUUUGGCAAGUCUUCCAAAGUGACCUUUUAGAAUAAUGCAUGAUUUUCUGCAUGCGAACAUCGUUGAGAAGCAUGCAAACAUGUGCUUGGCAAUAGGUUUGUAUUCAAAAUAGAUUAAAAGCUAAGCUGACAGAGACCAUUGUUUGUUGUUUAUGAACAGAUGCAAAAAUUGCCGGACAAAAACGCAAGAGGUCAGCAAACUUCCUGCAUCCCCAUGAUGAAACAGCAUGAAACAUUUAAAGGCUUUCUCCGUGACUUUGCUUGACAUUCUCUACCCAAACCAAAUCUGUUCCGACAGCAAGAUCAGGGGGGGGGGGAAAUGUAGAUAGAUCUACAUAUUUAAAGGACAUGGGAUAAGAAUAUGGCACUGGUUAGUCUUUUGGCUGAUGUUUAAUGUGAGUGACAGAAAGGCAAAUAUAGACAGUUAGAAAAAGACAAAAACAAUGGAAAAAUAAGCUCUUUCCAUUCCGUGACUAAAAUAAAUGGUCAAAAUGUGUAAUUAGAAACGAGCAAUUGACUCAAUAAGAUUCAGAACAAAUACUUGUCAUUAGGCAUUGUGCUAUGCCUAAUGAUGGGAGGUAGAAAUCAUUAUGCCACUGCGGUAUUCAGAAAUAUAUCAACAACAUUAAUUGUUAUAUAUCGUGCUGUUGUGUGCAACAGCAUGGUACUGAGCGUACAGACAGGCUGUGUGGUGUGAAGCACAAAGGCAACGUCUCAGAAAUGAGCGGGACCAUGUUGGACCUGAGCGCUACGUAAGUGGACAUAUGUCUUUGUCAGAAAAAGAUAAAGUAUACCCUUUCAAGAAUCUGCUUAACUUCCUCAUUCCACUGCAGACGACUAGUGUUCACUUCCUGGAGAGAUUUACACAACAGCAGGGAAACAGUUCUGCACACGCUUAAUGCAUAAGGAGACAUAUUUUUUUUAAUUGUCUCACUGUUUUGUUGUGUUUUUUUACAUAAGCUUCUGUUUCAUAAGUGUGGCAUAUACAAUUGUGAAGGUUUAAUUGCAUCAGUCCAAAUCUUCUCUGUGAACAUACAGAUGCUACACUGCAGCACAUAACUGAAGUAAAACAAAGCAAAGCCUCAGCAUACCUGCGGUCCCCAAAUCGCUUGUUUCUGUCUGAUGCCAUCUUGUGGUUAAAAAAAUGAACCACAGCGUGAUAAGAGGAGAGAGAAGAAAAAAAAAAAGUCUACGUCCAACUUUCAAGUUUCUCACUUCUGAGUGUCCUUGAAAUACCUCGCAGAUUUGUUGACUCACAACAGCCGGAGCAAAAUUUCAUAGCGUAAUGUCUACUCAACUUUCUCGCUGAGUCUGUAGGAGGCUGAAGUGCCGAAAUGUGAGAAAAUGAAAGCAAUCCCACUGCUCAGACUGCUUGUUCAACACACUUCUAGUAUUGACAAAAAUCAUCACAUAAACGUGAGAAGUUUGUGCUAUUAAAGCGCUAACCCCACUGAAAAGACGAGACAAACAUUAAAACUACUGUCUGGGCAAAAACAGUGAGGCAAAUCAUUAAAAUCAGCAUUUGUCCAGUGAGGAUAAUCAUAGUUACCCAAUUUAAAACCACAUUAGCAUUCACUAAAGCCUGGAAACUAACCAUGUAGCUACCAAUCAAUUCAGUAAGAAACCACUUACAAACAUUUAUUUCUCUACUUUGGUGUCCACCAGAAAACCUUCUCUUUCAGUCGGGACCUUCUCGGUUUGAAAUUUUGAGAUGUUACCAACACAAAAGUUGAUGUUUUUCAUUGGGGUUUAAUGUCAAAUAUAGGCAAAAACCAUCUUAUAAUUGUGCCACACAUAUAUCUAUUCAACCCGCUUUACUGUGAUAACCCUAAAGAAAAUCCAGAGUAAACAACUUCCUUCCUCUAGUCGGUAAAAAGAGUCCACUUGCAUGCAAUUUAAUCUCAUAGAGCUCCUGUGAAAGAACACACCAGCCACAUCAGGGAUAAAGCUGUGCAGAAGUUUAAAGCAGGGUCAGGUUAUAAAACUGUAUCUAAAGCUUUGAACAUCUAACAGAGCGCUGUUCCGUCUGACAUCUGAAAAUGAAAAGAGCAAGAUCAAACUUAAAACCUACCAAGACAUGGCUGUCUGCAUAAACUGAAGGCAAGAGGCCAAUGAUAAGAUAAAAGGAGCUGCAGAGAUUCGCAGCCCAGUUGGGAGAAUUUUUUUUUAAUCAUAUAAAAUAUUAGUUGUGCACUUCCUAAAUAUUCCUUUUGUGAAAGGCUGAUAAGAAAAGGGCAUUUUUAAAAGAAAGUUAAAAAAAAAUAAAAAUAAAAAAUAGAAGUCCAAUUAGCCAGUUGGAUUAGCUCCGGUCUUGUUUGAUGAGACUAAAAGGCUAAAAGACGAAAGUUUUUUGGCCUGCAUACAAAAUUAAUACUACACAUUACUGUAAACUCAUCAUCAUCACUGGUAAACAUGGUGGUAACUGCAUCAUGCAGUGAGAAUGAUUUACGUCAGCAGGAACAGAGUUGAUAGGAAGAUGAAAAAAGUGUGCCAACUUUUGAAGAAAACAUGCCAAGUACUACAAAAGGCUGGACAAAAGGUAGAAGGACAGCAAUCCGAAACAUGCAGCCAGAGCUUGAAUGAAGUGGUCUAAAUCAAAGCAUAUUCAUGUGUAUGACACAAUGGCGGAGUAAAAGCACACAUCUGAGUCCAAUAAAGAAUCAAUGGCAAAACUUGAAGGUUAGGCUUUAUAGACAGCCUCCAUCCAAUCUAAGUGAGUUUUAGUCAUUUUUACUUUUAUUUUUUUGCUGAUCUAUCACAUAAAAACCCCCAAUAAAAUACAUUAGCAUUUGUGUUUGUAACGUGACAAAACAUGAACAAGUCUUACGUUGAUAAGCUGAUAAGUCUUCUCACAACACAAACAGAAAAAUAAACACAUGUCUGAAUAGCAGCUGCUGCAUUUAAAUUCUUCUAAAUAGGCUACAGUCAGCAAAAUGAGAUCCUCAGGUUAACGUUUGCAGAAAACAACCCAGGUGCUCGACUCGCACAAUGAGGGAAAGCAGGUGCAAACAUGUAUGCCAACUCCAAAAGCCCAUUCACGAAAACAUCUUGAGGUUAGUUUUUUUUAUUUUUUUAAUCCAGACUGAACACAUUGAUUAAAAAAAGAAAAGUUUUCUCUCUUCCUUCUGCUUAUUAUUGACUGAAAAAAAAAAUAUAUGCAGAGAAAGUAAAUAAAGCACUGCAGAGAACAAUGUCUGUUAAGAGAUCUUCUUCCUAACAAGCACAGACCUGCUUUAUUGUACCAAUUAUUUACUCAGCAGUUUCAAAAUUGCUUAGUAAUCAAACAUUCCCCAAAUUAUCAUGAUACACAGUGGGGCCAGCGGUUAGACCACUACCAGAACAACUCCCAAGUUCAACUUCAAAAAUAUGUAUAUAUAUAUUUUUGCUACAGUUUGCUAUGUCUUACUCCUCUGUGGCCUUACUUGCACAUCCCUCUACGAGUUAUCAAAA